AGCCACAGACGGCAGCCACGCCGGGGAUCGCCAUAGAUAGGUAGAUCGGCGCCAGCCAUGUCAGCAGUGAGGAGACGACUGACGGCUUGUAUGAUUGCUGACGUCCCGGCCGAAGAAUAAAAUCGGUAAUCAAGAGCUAGACAUGGACUCUGUCAGUGUGAGGAUCUAAGGUACCUCUUUUGGUGAUCUCUUCAUCAAUUUUGGCCCACACCCGCAGCUUCAGAGUCAUGUGUCCUACUGUACCCAUACACUGAUGAUGACAUAUACGGUUCAGUUCUCUUCUCUCCCUCCCUGCCAGCGAACAUGUCAUCAGAUGUACUGCAACAAAAGAUAAACACACACUGAUGAUGAUGUGACCUACUGUACCCAUACACUGAUGAUGAUGGUGAUGUAUACGGUUCAGUUCUCUUCUCCCCCCCCCCCCCCCGGGCAGCAAACAAUGUCAUCAGAUGUACUAAUAAAACUGUAGCCUUGGUUGUACUAAUAAAACUUGUGUGACUGUGCA